rnacentral:rRNA from 1 species
AGUAAUACAUCGGAACGUGUCCUGUAGUGGGGGAUAGCCCGGCGAAAGCCGGAUUAAUACCGCAUACGAUCUGUGGAUGAAAGCGGGGGAUCUUCGGACCUCGCGCUACAGGGGCGGCCGAUGGCAGAUUAGCUAGUUGGUGGGGUAAAGGCCUACCAAGGCGACGAUCUGUAGCUGGUCUGAGAGGACGACCAGCCACACUGGGACUGAGACACGGCCCAG